rnacentral:rRNA from 1 species
GGAUUAGGCAUGCAAGUCGAACGGUAUGGUGCUUUCGGGCAUCAGAGAGUGGCGAACGGGUGAGUAACACGUAGGUGAUCUACCCUCAAGACGGGGACAACCCAGGGAAACUUGGGCUAAUACCGGAUGAUAGCAGCAGUGAUGUUGUUUAAAAGAUGGCUUUCGGGCUGUCGUUUGGGGAUGAGCCUGCGUCCUAUUAGUUAGUUGGUGUGGUAAUGGCAUACCAAGGCGAUGAUAGGUAGGCGGCCUUAACGGGUGGUCGCCCACACUGGGAUUGAGAUACGGCCCAGACUCCUACGGGAGGCAGCAGUCGAGAAUAGUCUACAAUGGUCGGAAGACUGAUAGUGCGACGCCGCGUGAACGAGGAAGCCCUUCGGGGUGUAAAGUUCUUUUAUAUGUGAGCAGUGGGUUCUACGUUAACAGCGUGGGAUCAGGGAUAUUAGCAUAUGAAUAAGCAACGGCUAACUCCGUGCCAGCAGCCGCGGUAAUA